AACCGCAUGGUUCAAUAGUGAAAGACGGUUUUGCUGUCACUUAUAGAUGGAUCCGCGCCGCAUUAGCUAGUUGGUAAGGUAACGGCUUACCAAGGCGACGAUGCGUAGCCGACCUGAGAGGGUGAUCGGCCACACUGGAACUGAGACACGGUCCAGACUCCUACGGGAGGCAGCAGUAGGGAAUCUUCCGCAAUGGGCGAAAGCCUGACGGAGCAACGCCGCGUGAGUGAUGAAGGUCUUCGGAUCGUAAAACUCUGUUAUUAGGGAAGAACAAAUGUGUAAGUAACUAUGCACGUCUUGACGGUACCUAAUCAGAAAGCCACGGCUAACUACGUGCCAGCAGCCGCGGUAAUACGUAGGUGGCAAGCGUUAUCCGGAAUUAUUGGGCGUAAAGCGCGCGUAGGCGGUUUUUUAAGUCUGAUGUGAAAGCCCACGGCUCAACCGUGGAGGGUCAUUGGAAACUGGAAAACUUGAGUGCAGAAGAGGAAAGUGGAAUUCCAUGUGUAGCGGUGAAAUGCGCAGAGAUAUGGAGGAACACCAGUGGCGAA
rnacentral:rRNA from 1 species